AGUCUCUUCCUGCUGCCUGCUGAUCUAGAUGUAGAAUCCUCAGCUACCUCUUCAGCACCAUCUCUGCCUGUGUGCCACCAUGCUUUCCUCCAUGAUGGUAAUGGACUAAACUUCUGAAACUAUAAGUCAGCCCCAGGGAAAUGGUGUCCUUUAUGAGUUGCCAUGGUCAUGAUGUUUCUUCACAGCAAUAGAACCCUAACACAGAAUGUCACUGUGUGGUCAUGCUGGCUUUAAACUCACAGUCCCAAGUGCUAGUAUUAUAGUCGUGUGCCAUCAUGUCCAGCUGUCAGAAGUUUACGAAGCUGAAGAAGGCCACACUCAGGUGUCUGAAGGAUGGCCAG
rnacentral:lncRNA from 1 species